GGGCACAUGUCAUCAGAACCUCCGAGGCUGUGUCACAGGUACGUCCUUAACAUUGGCCAAAAAAUCUUUCUAAAUUGACUGAUACCUAUCUCAGAUAUUUGGAGUUCACAGGUGCAGUGCCCCCACAGAGUCACUCUGGGCCACAGGAAAGAUCUGAGUGGCAGGUUUGUAAUAAAUAAUAUUCAUUUUCUUUCUUAGAUUUCAAAGUGCAUCAUCACUGUGUGUGCGUGGCUGAGAAACAACGCAGCGCUGUCUACCAAUUCCCUCUGGGCUCAUAAGCAAGUGCUUGUUUACAGGAAAAGAAAAAGUGGCUCUUUAGCGACUUAUAUUGAUGAAAUGAGCCAUACUAAGUGUAUCAUUGAUCAAUUUCCUGACAGCUCCAAAUCAAAAGGUCAGAACCAAAGAGAGAAGGAAGCUGGCUGGGGAAAAGCCAAGCAGAACUGACCCAGGUGCUAAGCGCGAAGUCAUUAUCUCUCUGGAUUCCCUACAGUGAGGAAACAGAAUCCCAUUUGUCACCUCCUGGCACUUAUUUCUGGACUCAUAGAUGUUUGUCACCAAAAGGAUGCUGAACAGUCUCUAGUCCCUCUGUAUCAUUUUGUUAAGGAGGAAGCUGAGCUCCAAGUAGAAUUUGGGAUUUCUAUGAAUUUCUCAUAGUCUUAACAGGCAACGACUAAGUGACAGAGCCCAGGGGUCCUGGGUUUCAGCAUGUGCCGUGCAUAGCAACAGGGAGAGCAGAGGUGUCAGGGGAGAGAAAUGAGCCCCAGUCUCAUCAUGUGGCAGUAAUUGGGGAUGCACCUUUUCUUAUAUUAAUAGAGAUGAACAAACACUGCUCCAGCACAUUCACAUUUGAAUCUUCCUGAAAACCGUGCUUUCCCAUUUUGCAGAUGCAGAAACUGAGGCUCCAAGAGCAGAAGUGACACCGAAGUCACCUAGCCCAGAAUUGUCUAUCAUCAAGGCUGCUACUGGCCUCUCUAGGAGCUUUUGUGUCCACAGAAAAAGAUGUUCCUCUGGCCUGCCACAGCCUGCGGAAAUGUUUGCCCUAGGUGGCAGAGUGCCAGCUGAGUGUCAGCCCACAGAUGAAGGAGCCUUCAACUUAGGCCAGAACUUUGUGCAGAAUGCAAAAUAUGCACCCCUCUGCUGGCCCUGUCUGUAGAAGUAAAGAAGUUAAGAAACAGAUCAAUAAAUGAUGGUCUAUUCACAUGAUGAAA
rnacentral:lncRNA from 1 species